UCAUCUUUCCUUCUUGCCCCGUGACUUAUGGCAGGAAAAGGAAAGAAAACAUCAACGCAGCAAGACGGGGAAGCCGAGAAAGAAACGCAGGAGAAGAGAAUACAAGAGCUACAGAAAUGACUCUGGGUCUCAUCAAUGCGAACCCUGUGGUUCACGCUAAAAAGGAAAGGGUCGCCCGCUCCGAAGAUCUUCACUGUGAUGACGCUGUUGAUCCACUUGAAGUCUAUGAUUUUGUAAGGGAUAUAAGAGAUCCAGAGCACCCAUAUUCACUGGAACAGCUCAGUGUUCUCUCAGAGGAAUCGAUUACCGUUGAUGACAAGCUCGGCCGUAUUCUGAUUACUUUUACUCCUACAAUUCAACAUUGCAGCAUGGCAACAGUUAUUGGUCUUUGUCUUAGAGUAAAAUUACAAGAAUGUUUCCCUCCCCAUUAUAAGGUUGACAUUAAAGUUUCUCCCGGAUCUCAUGCUGAUGAAGAAUCUGGUGAAGUUAAACUUGGCAUUAAUUUUGGUGCUUUUUGUUUUGCUACCUUGUCCAUUUAUGUUGCCUUCAUGCUAGAAAGCAUACAUGUUAAUUUAUUCAACUAGUCCAGUUAUCACCCUAGAGCAUGUUCAUACUCGUUCACUAACAUAUCUCAACCUUGAUAUUUAUGUGAGAGUGAAUAAGCAGUUAAACGAUAAAGAAAGAGUUGCUGCUGCACUAGAGAAUCCGAAUCUGCGCCAACUUGUGGAUGAGUGCCUUUACUCCAAUGAACUUUGAUCAAGCACACUCACCUACCUUUAGCAGCUGUACAUAGAAUUUAAGAAGUUGUUGUUGUUGAAUGCAGUAAAUGACUUGCUACAUAAAAUUGAUCUGCUGAAUUCAAUUUAUCCUAUGUUUGUAUGAGUAUUUGUUAAUUCUCAUAGUUGCCUUUAGGAGUCACAAUUGCAAUUGUGGAAAGAAAAUAUGGGAUACAACAUAAUGCAUCCUGUGUAGUGUAGAUUUCCCAGUAAUCUGUGGCUUGUAUCAUUCAGUUAGAACUUGGACUCUCGUUCCUGAGUAAGCCUAUCUAUCAGAUACUCAACAUUUUCUGUCA